AGAGGCCAGGUCACAGUGACUCAGCCUGGAGCAGUGAGGGCUGCUCUGGGAGCCUCCGUCACCAUCACAUGUAAAACCAGCCAGAAUGUUAAUGUAUGUAAAGUCAGUACAAAUACUGGCUACCUCGCCUGGUACCUUCAGAAACCUGGAGAAGCUCCUAAACUCCUGAUAUAUUCUGCUACAAGCCGUCAGUCUGGAGUUUCAAGUCGUUUUAAAGGCAGUGGAUCAGGGAGUGACUUCACUCUGACCAUCAGUGGAGUCCAGGCUGAAGAUGCAGCAGUUUACUACUGUCAGAGUUACCACUAUAUCAACAGUCAGUAUCUGUUCACACAGUGA